GAUAGCUUCAUCACCAUCUCUAUUAUUGUUAGAAGUAUUGAAAACCUACAAAGAAAAGAUAAAAACUUUAAGAAUAUGAAAAUAACAAUAUAUUCUAAAUCACUAAAUCCAUGUAUACGAAAAUAUAAAUGAUAAUUAAGUUACCAACAUUUUAUGAAAGCCGGAAAAGUACUUUUUCCUGUUAAGCUGUGGAGCCACCACCUUGUUUGAUGAUAAGUUCUAUACCUGCUAUUUUGGCCUGGGCAUGACACUGUACCUAAAAAGGCUGCCAUCAAACACCACUUUUCUUAUUGAGAGAACGUUAAAACCAUGGGCCACUGUGUUAUUCGAAACGUGUGCGAUAGCUUUGCCAUACAUUUCUUACCAGCCUCCUCCAUGUCAAAAGCAAAAGCUCUUUUGAUAUUUGAAGGCCCGCCAACAUCGGCUCUCGUAGCCUCAAAUAUAUGCUUUGUUUAAACUGACGAUGGGGCCAUGCAUAUAUUGUCGCAUUUCUUGGUACAAGUCUGGCCUUCCAGCUUUCAUUCAUAUCGUCAUCGUUAUCAUCACUCGGUGACACUUUUUUUUCCCCUCUCUCUCUCUACGUGUCUUGUGGUCUCCAU
rnacentral:lncRNA from 1 species